AGAGUUUGAUCAUGGCUCAGAUUGAACGCUGGCGGCAGGCCUAACACAUGCAAGUCGAACGGUAACAGGAUAGCUUGCUAUCGCUGACGAGUGGCGGACGGGUGAGUAAUACUUAGGGAUCUGCCUCUGUGUGGGGGAUAACUAUUGGAAACGAUAGCUAAUACCGCAUAAUGUCUACGGACCAAAGCGGGCUUCGGCUCGUGCGCAGAGAGGAACCUAAGCGAGAUUAGCUAGUUGGUGAGGUAAAGGCUCACCAAGGCGACGAUCUCUAGCUGUUCUGAGAGGAAGAUCAGCCACACUGGAACUGAGACACGGUCCAAACUCCUACGGGAGGCAGCAGUGGGGAAUAUUGCACAAUGGGGGAAACCCUGAUGCACCAUGCCCCGUGUGUG
rnacentral:rRNA from 1 species